rnacentral:tRNA from 1 species
CAUUAUGAAGCUAACCAGCGUUAACCUUUUAAGUUAAAGAUCGAGGACUGUGUUCUCCAUAAUGA